rnacentral:rRNA from 1 species
GAGUGGCGAACUGGUGAGUAACACGUGGGAAACCUGCCCAGAAGCGGGGGAUAACACCUGGAAACAGAUGCUAAUACCGCAUAACAACUUGGACCGCAUGGUCCGAGCUUGAAAGAUGGCUUCGGCUAUCACUUUUGGAUGGUCCCGCGGCGUAUUAGCUAGAUGGUGGGGUAACGGCUCACCAUGGCAAUGAUACGUAGCCGACCUGAGAGGGUAAUCGGCCACAUUGGGACUGAGACACGGCCCAAACUCCUACGGGAGGCAGCAGUAGGGAAUCUUCCACAAUGGACGAAAGUCUGAUGGAGCAACGCCGCGUGAGUGAAGAAGGGUUUCGGCUCGUAAAACUCUGUUGUUAAAGAAGAACAUAUCUGAGAGUAACUGUUCAGGUAUUGACGGUAUUUAACCAGAAAGCCACGGCUAACUACGUGCCAGCAGCCGCGGUAAUACGUAGGUGGCAAGCGUUGUCCGGAUUUAUUGGGCGUAAAGCGAGCGCAGGCGGUUUUUUAAGUCUGAUGUGAAAGCCUUCGGCUCAACCGAAGAAGUGCAUCGGAAACUGGGAAACUUGAGUGCAGAAGAGGACAGUGGAACUCCAUGUGUAGCGGUGAAAUGCGUAGAUAUAUGGAAGAACACCAGUGGCGAAGGCGGCUGUCUGGUCUGUAACUGACGCUGAGGCUCGAAAGUAUGGGUAGCAAACAGGAUUAGAUACCCUGGUAGUCCAUACCGUAAACGAUGAAUGCUAAGUGUUGGAGGGUUUCCGCCCUUCAGUGCUGCAGCUAACGCAUUAAGCAUUCCGCCUGGGGAGUACGGCCGCAAGGCUGAAACUCAAAGGAAUUGACGGGGGCCCGCACAAGCGGUGGAGCAUGUGGUUUAAUUCGAAGCUACGCGAAGAACCUUACCAGGUCUUGACAUACUAUGCAAAUCUAAGAGAUUAGACGUUCCCUUCGGGGACAUGGAUACAGGUGGUGCAUGGUUGUCGUCAGCUCGUGUCGUGAGAUGUUGGGUUAAGUCCCGCAACGAGCGCAACCCUUAUUAUCAGUUGCCAGCAUUAAGUUGGGCACUCUGGUGAGACUGCCGGUGACAAACCGGAGGAAGGUGGGGAUGACGUCAAAUCAUCAUGCCCCUUAUGACCUGGGCUACACACGUGCUACAAUGGAUGGUACAACGAGUUGCGAACUCGCGAGAGUAAGCUAAUCUCUUAAAGCCAUUCUCAGUUCGGAUUGUAGGCUGCAACUCGCCUACAUGAAGUCGGAAUCGCUAGUAAUCGCGGAUCAGCAUGCCGCGGUGAAUACGUUCCCGGGCCUUGUACACACCGCCCGUCACACCAUGAGAGUUUGUAACACCCAAAGUCGGUGGGGUAACCUUUUAGGA